AGAACGAACGCUGGCGGCAGGCUUAACACAUGCAAGUCGAGCGCCCCGCAAGGGGAGCGGCAGACGGGUGAGUAACGCGUGGGAACGUACCCCCCGGUUCGGAAUAACUCAGGGAAACUUGAGCUAAUACCGGAUACGGCUGGAAGGCGAAAGAUUCAUCGCCGGGGGAUCGGCCCGCGUCCGAUUAGCUAGUUGGUGUGGUAACGGCGCACCAAGGCGACGAUCGGUAGCUGGUCUGAGAGGAUGAUCAGCCACAUUGGGACUGAGACACGGCCCAAACUCCUACGGGAGGCAGCAGUGGGGAAUAUUGGACAAUGGGCGCAAGCCUGAUCCAGCCAUGCCGCGUGAGUGAUGAGGCCUUAGGGUUGUAAAGCUCUUUCACCCACGACGAUAAUGACGGUAGUGGGAGAAGAAGCCCGGCUAACUUCGUGCCAGCAGCCGC
rnacentral:rRNA from 1 species